GAUGAACGCUGGCGGCGUGCCUAAUACAUGCAAGUCGAGCGAACAGAUGAGGAGCUUGCUCCUCUGACGUUAGCGGCGGACGGGUGAGUAACACGUGGAUAACCUACCUAUAAGACUGGUAUAACUUCGGGAAACCGGAGCUAAUACCGGAUAAUAUAUUGAACCGCAUGGUUCAAUAGUGAAAGACGGUUUUGCUGUCACUUAUAGAUGGAUCCGCGCCGCAUUAGCUAGUUGGUAAGGUAACGGCUUACCAAGGCAACGAUGCGUAGCCGACCUGAGAGGGUGAUCGGCCACACUGGAACUGAGACACGGUCCAGACUCCUACGGGAGGCAGCAGUAGGGAAUCUUCCGCAAUGGGCGAAAGCUUGACGGAGCAACGCCGCGUGAGUGAUGAAGGUCUUCGGAUCGUAAAACUCUGUUAUUAGGGAAGAACAAAUGUGUAAGUAACUAUGCACGUCUUGACGGUACCUAAUCAGAAAGCCACGGCUAACUACGUG
rnacentral:rRNA from 1 species